GACGAACGCUGGCGGCGUGCCUAAUACAUGCAAGUCGAACGCAGUGGGGACGGGUGAGUAACACGUGGGUAACCUCCCAUCAGAGGGGAUAACCCUUGGAAACAGGUGCUAAACCGACACUGAUGGAUGGACCUGCGGUGUAUUAGCUAGUUGGUUAGGUAACGGCUCACCAAGGCCACGAUGCAUAGCCGACAUGAGAGGGUGAUAGGGCAAACUGGGACUGUGAAACGGGCCAGACUCCGACGGGAGGCAGCAGUAGGGAAUCGUCGGCAAUGGGCGAAAGUCUGACGGAGCAACGCCGCGGGAGUGAAGAAGGUUUGCGGAUCGUAAAACGCUGUUGUUAGAGAAGCGGUAUCUAACCAGAAAGCCACGGCUAACUACGUGCCAGCAGCCGCGGUAAUAC
rnacentral:rRNA from 1 species